UACGUAGGGUGCGAGCGUUGUCCGGAAUUAUUGGGCGUAAAGAGCUCGUAGGCGGUUUGUUGCGUCGGCCGUGAAAACCUGCAGCUUAACUGUGGGCCUGCGGCCGAUACGGGCAGACUUGAGUUCGGUAGGGGAGACUGGAAUUCCUGGUGUAGCGGUGAAAUGCGCAGAUAUCAGGAGGAACACCGGUGGCGAAGGCGGAUCUCUGGGCCAUUACUGACGCUGAGGAGCGAAAGCGUGGGGAGCGAACAGG
rnacentral:rRNA from 1 species